rnacentral:sRNA from 1 species
CCCCAACCCAGGCUACAGUGCAGUGGCGCAGUCACAGCUCAGUGUAGCCUUGACCUGUCAAUCUCCCGGGCUCAAACCAUCCUGCUCAGCCUCCUGAGUAUCUGGGACUACAGGCGCAUGCCACCACACCCAGCUAAUUUUUGUAUGUUUUUGUAGAGAUGGGAUUUCACCAUGUUGCCCAAGCUGGUCUUGAAUUCCUGGGCUCAAGUGAUUCUCCCACGUGGGCCUCCCAAAGUGCUGGGAUUAUAGACGUGAGCCACCAUGCCUGGCCUUGGUGUAUCAUUCUUCAGCCUGGAAGAAAAUCAUUUUGCACUCACCAGAAGCUUAGUUUAUUGCAGCGUCUAACCUAGCUUGCCUGCUUAGGACUAGGGAUUUUCUUUAUAUUCAGAUAAAGUUCAAGGACAAGAAGAGAAUUGGGCUUGUGUUAUGCAAAGUCAUUUACUUGAGUAAUAAAUAGGUGUCACUUGUGAAUGACAUUACCUUUAACACCAUGUAGCGUAUGUUGUGUUCUGAAGAACUGCAACCACAAAGUUAUUUGUUGGUACUGAGAGAUUUCUGCUUUAUUCUUUGUUUUUGCUAUCCUGUCCUAUAUAACUUUUUUUAAAGUCAUAAGCUUAAAGUUUUUUAUUACGAAGAAUUUUAUAUUUAUGCAAAAGAAAAUAGUAUCUGUAUGACCAAUCAUCCAGAUUCAGCAACUAAGAGGAUUUAUAAUAGAUUUAAAGGUUCAAUGUUUAAUAAAUAUCUUAAAGUUCACUAGAGAAAAAAUCCUUAUUGCGAGAUAACGUGGACCUAUUGGGAAGCUUGGCAGAUCUGUACUUCAGAGCUGGAGACAAUAAAAACUCUGUCCUCAAGUUUGAACAGGCACAGAUGUUGGAUCCUUAUCUGAUAAAAGGAAUGGAUGUAUAUGGCUACCUACUGGCACGAGAAGGGCGGCUGGAGGAUGUUGAGAACCUUGGAUGCCGCCUUUUCAAUAUCUCUGAUCAGCAUGCAGAACCGUGGGUGGUUUCUGGCUGUCACAGCUUCUAUAGCAAACGCUACUCCCGGGCCCUCUAUUUAGGAGCCAAGGCCAUUCAGCUGAACAGUAAUAGUGUUCAAGCUUUGCUACUUAAGGGAGCAGCACUUAGGAACAUGGGCAGAGUCCAAGAAGCAAUAAUCCACUUUCGGGAGGCCAUACGGCUCGCACCUUGUCGCUUAGAUUGUUAUGAAGGUCUUAUCGAAUGUUACUUAGCCUCCA